ACGUCAGAACUGUUUCGGNCUUCCAUCAGGGUUUCCNCUGACUUCAACCUGAUCAAGUAUAGUUCACCAUCUUUCGGGUCACAGCAUAUAUGCUCAAGGUACGUUCCAGUUAGAGGUUAUAAAUAAUAAAUAUAAAU
rnacentral:rRNA from 1 species